rnacentral:rRNA from 1 species
UACGUAGGUGGCAAGCGUUGUCCGGAAUUAUUGGGCGUAAAGCGCACGUAGGCGGUUUGUUAAGUCGGAUGUGAAAGCCCUGGGCUCAACCCAGGAAGUGCAUUCGAAACUAGCAGACUUGAAUAUGGAAGAGGGUCGCGGAAUUCCCGGUGUAGAGGUGAAAUUCGUAGAUAUCGGGAGGAACACCAGUGGCGAAGGCGGCGACCUGGGCCAAUAUUGACGCUGAGGUGCGAAAGCGUGGGGAGCAAACAGG